AGUGAACGCUGGCGGUAGGCCUAACACAUGCAAGUCGAACGGCAGCACAGUAAGAGCCUGCUCUUACGGGUGGCGAGUGGCGGACGGGUGAGGAAUACAUCGGAAUCUACUUUUUCGUGGGGGAUAACGUAGGGAAACUUACGCUAAUACCGCAUACGACCUACGGGUGAAAGCAGGGGAUCUUCGGACCUUGCGCGAUUGAAUGAGCCGAUGUCGGAUUAGCUAGUUGGCGGGGUAACGGCCCACCAAGGCGACGAUACGUAGCUGGUCUGAGAGGAUGAUCAGCCACACUGGAACUGAGACACGGUCCAGACUCCUACGGGAGGCAGCAGUGGGGAAUAUUGGACAAUGGGCGCAAGCCUGAUCCAGCCAUACCGCGUGGGUGAAGAAGGCCUUCGGGUUGUAAAGCCCUUUUGUUGGGAAAGAAAAGAAGCAGGUUAAUACCCCGCUGUUCUGACGGUACCCAAAGAAUAAGCACCGGCUAACUUCGUG
rnacentral:rRNA from 1 species